CCCAGAUUUAAGCAGGGUUUUGUUAAUUUCCCCUCAACUUCCCACAGGUAUCUUAAAAACUUUGCUCACUCAUCCCUUCUCUGAAUUAGGAUUUGAGCAUCUUUCUGUUAUGCUGUUGCCCCACUCUUAUUGCAAUACUCCCCUUCUUCAGAAAGUUUUUCUAGACUAAUGUCCAGAUUAAGCUUCUUUUCUUUGACAAUAAUGAUGCCACGACUUGGGCAAAAUGCCCAUUGCCCCUGGCUCCUGCUUUCUUCACCCAGUGCUGCCUUAUUGGACUCCUUGUGCCUCUCCGUGACUGGGGAAAUCAGGAUCCACAGUGAGCUUCAACUGAGAAUCUAGAAGAGAGUAGACAGAAAAAUACUUUUCCCUUCCCUCCAAAUGCAAGGAUAAUCUUACGUGAGUCCAGGAGGAAGGCUCAUUUCACACUAAGUGUUCUGAAUCAAAAAGAUGAACAAAAUACAGUGCCAUUCUUCAAGGACUUCACAGUCUACAGGAAAGGGAUAUAGUUAAACAAAUAACUGCAGAAUUGGAAAUUGGAGCUGAUGUGCUUAGAAGGGUUUUGAACAAGGGGCAUGACUGUGACUUCCUCUGCUUUUGCAAACUUCAGGAAAACCUUUACGCACAGUUGAAAAUACAGAAUCUCAGAGUGAAGCCCUAACUUCCCACAGCAGAUGGGGUCUAUGAGGAGGAAGAAGUGGAUGCAUGGACCAGUCCUGUUUUGAAGACAAGUCUCAUGGUGCUACUGUGCCUCCAUGAGCUCCUGAUGCCCAGAAGCUGGUAUCCUGUGAGUGGGUAGGCUAAUGAUUAUACCAACUAACCCUGCAGGGAUUUGCACUGAUGUUGAGGCCCAUUCACACAUUAGUACAGCUCCAUAGGUUGUAGGACAUUUUCCAGGCUGGAGCGAAUAAGUUAUUGCUUUCAGUAAAUCCCCUCCCUCCUUCCUCUCCUUUUAUCUCAGAUUUGCAAUGAUGGAGUGGGUUAAGUUUUAAGACUAUUAUCUGUCUGUUUAUAAUAUUCUCUGGGUGACCACAUCUGCAGAAACCUCUUGCAAUAUUCAAGUCCAAAUCCAACACAACUCUAUCACCAAUCUAUAAGCUCCAUUUACCUCCAUAUCCCUAGUGAGUCCAUCAUAACAUCAGAGAUAUACAAAAAAUUACUUACAGAAAUAAUAUGGAAUUAUUUUAUGAAGUCCAAAUAAUAUAUAUUGGGUUUAUUGCAUGGUGUUAUGUUUACAAGCAAUUACUUGACUCACAAAAUCUGCUUGAUAUGAAGUGUGUUGUAAUGGUUUUCUGCCGCUACUCCUCUGAAGUCUUGAGUGUUUCCACCCUCCAGGGGGAAACAGCUAAUAUCUAUCUGCCUGUUCUAAAACAUUGCGUGCAAGUACAUACACACAUAAUCCCCUUGCAUCUUCUGAGAUUUAGCAAAUGAUUAAAUGCUGAACAAUUUAGCAAUCUAUUGAGUGACUUUUCAUUUGCUAUCAAAGUAGACAGAUGUAUGGUCCUAGGGAAUGUGCAUGGACUUUAGUGGUAUAUCAUGGUACCUACAAUCUCUGGCAUGUUAGGUAAGUUACUUAACUCUGAGGUUCUAUAUUUUGAACUGUGAAGUGAAAAUGAUAAUAGUCAUUGAGUUUCAAGGAAAGAAAUUACAAUGAAGUCAUGAGGGGUCAGGUUUCCUGAGUUCUAAUGCUUCUUUCACCACUGUAGUGGAUGCUGUGGUGCUGCACUCAGAUUCCAGAACUGAGAAACUCAUGCCCACGGCUGCUGGAAUUAUGGGUUGUUGAUAUCUCACAGCCAUGUUUCUUCUCAGGAAAUGUCCUCUCUUGGCCAAAGAGAGCUCCUCUGUCUAAUGCUACACCCUUCUCCUGGGGACAGUCUGCAAGGCUUCAAAGUCUUGGCAUUCCUUCUUCAAUUCGGCCCUGAAGGGUUAUUCCAACUCCAGAAAUGCCUGGGAAGUCACCUGCAACCAGUAUGACCCAAUCCUGCUUCUCUGACCCCCUGACAUAUGCUGCUCCAGAAAACACCGCCAAUAAACUUUACACAAAUAUAUUUCCAAUUCAGAGUCGGCUUCCUGGAGUCUUGGUAGUUCCAUGAAAUUUACUGCUUAUUGUGUAUAGAGGUCACAUAGAUAAUUACACAUGGUAGAAUUGGAAUUGAAAUUCUGAUAAGAACCCUGUGAUUUCAAGUCCAGGUCUCCUAUUGGCCUCCAUUGUUCUAUUUCAUUCUGAAAUAGAUUGGAGGAACUCACAACACAAUAGAUCCCAUAUUUCAGCUAGUUAAUAAUCAACAUAUUCUGGUCUUAGUGGCCAUUAUUUUUAAGAAGUUGUAUACACCAUUAUAAUUAGUGUGAUUUAGUCAGGUUUUUCUACUACAGUGGGGCAGUCUGGAACUCAGUCAGAUAUACUUGACUUCCUCAAGUCUUUAUGAGAUUCAUUUUUAUAUUUUUAAAAUUACAUUUUGAACUGACACAGAGUGCAAUGUUGAAGAGGUGAUCCUAUAAACAAGCAAAGGUCACUGCCAUUUAUUCCUUCAUUCAUGCUGUUUUUAUCCAUCCAACCAGCCACCAUAUAUUGUGUGCUUCCCAUGUACCAUGACACAUUCUGAGAACUUUCCACACAUGCUCUCCUUUCAUCUUCACAUCAACAACAUGAAUCUUAAGCUGUGCUGAAUUUUGUCCAAAAUGACUCAGAUAGGAAAAGGCAGAAUAAGGAAUACAUUCCAGUUGUCUCCAAAUUCCAUGCUUUUCUAAGUGUCACAUUAUAUUGUCCUUCCCACUGGCACACAGCUUAAAUAAAAGUCAAACUAUGAGAAGCAAUAGAAAGUAAUAUCAGAGUAGAGGUGAGAAGAUGCACUUACAUAAAUGAUCAUUCAAGACUUCCUGGAGAAGGCACUAGUUGGCCUUUGGAGUGACCUAGACUCACUUCCAAGUAGAAAGCUCAGUAAUUUUGCUUGAGAGAUAGCGCGGAAAGGGCCCAGGCUUCAGUGUGUGGCUGACUUGAAUUUGAGCUCUAUCUUUAUCUAUUACUACCUAUGUGGCUCUGGACAUCUUACUUAACCUCUCUGAAUCUUCAUCUUGUCAUUGUGAGAGACCUCAUUGACUUGUUGUAAAGAUUAAAGAAAUCAUGAAACACAACUAGUCCAAUAACUGAUACUAUAGUAUUUAACAAGUGAUGUGUGAUUUGAGUUAAUUCAAGUCUCUAGGUUAUAGCAAGAAAAUGGCAAAAAAAUUAAUUAAUCAGCUUCUCCAGUUUGUGCCUUUGAGAAGGGUAAGCCAAAGGAGGACUUUGUUCUCAUAUCUCAUGUUACAUCAUUUGUCAUAAAAAUUACACAUUCACACAAGCGCGCGCGCACACACACACACACACACAGGCACAAACACUCAGACAUGAGCCACAAUCCACAAUGGAGGAGAGCUUAGAGUGCUUAGACACCAUAAUAAACUUUCACAUAAAGUAGAGCAGUAGUGUUCUUAAUUAAAAUCUCUAAAGAACUCUUGUUGUUGACAAUAUCACCACCCAAAGCCAUAUUUACCUUGUUAAUUAUUCAAGUUGCAGUGAAUAAGAAACAAUGCCCAGGCUUCCCAUAAAAUUUCCAAAAAUUAAACCAGGGAAAUGGGCAAUAAAUGUCAUUUGAAAUGGAACUGAUGCCAGUUAAUUACAAGACAACUGUAAAAUAAUAGGGCAUGAGGUGCUCCAACAAUGCCUAAUUAGUAACUAUAUGGGUAUUUCCUUGGAAAAAAUGGCAAUUACAUGGUGCAAACACUUAGCAGUCAUCAUCAAAGGCCCUUAACCGAUAUUAGCUAAUUAAUCUUCCUUACAACACUCCGGCAGGAGGCAGCACAAGUCCUCAUUGAAAGAGGUAGAAGGGAAGGCCAAAAGGUGAAAUGGAAAAUCCUCUUCUGCUCAGCAUCUCUAAAGAACCAUUUGACACUCGCAGCCUAGAAGCACUCAAGAGAGAUUCCUAGGCCAAGAGAGGUGGACAACUGGAGGGCCCAGGAAUUAAUUGUCUUAGUCAAAGCCACAAGGCAAGCUGCUAGAUAAACUCAAAUUGAAAACCAACGUUUUAAAUCAGUAUCUUCAGAAAAUGAAAUUCCUUUCCAUCCUAAAAGAAAAAUUCAGGAACAAAUAUCAAAUUUCAAGACUGGACUUAUAUGUGUGUAUAUGGGAAACAAAAUACCCACAUACAUAUAUUAUACAAGCAUACACUUUUUUUUUUUUU